UACGGAGGAUCCAAGCGUUAUCCGGAUUUAUUGGGCUUAAAGGGUGCGUAGGCGGUUUAUUAAGUCAGGGGUGAAAGACGGUGGCUCAACCAUCGCAGUGCCUUUGAUACUGAUGAGCUUGAAUACACUAGAGGUAGGCGGAAUGUGACAAGUAGCGGUGAAAUGCAUAGAUAUGUCACAGAACACCGAUGGCGAAGGCAGCUUACUAUGGUGUGAUUGACGCUGAGGCACGAAAGCGUGGGGAUCAAACAGG
rnacentral:rRNA from 1 species